GACCAGCGAUGGGAAGUACCCUUCCCCUAAGAAUCCUAGCUUGACUUUUUUCUAUAAAGAACAUUCUGCUGCAGGGGUUAAAGAACAGAGAACAGAGGCCAGAGCGAAGGACGGGACAGGUGUUUUCACACAGGAAACGCAUUAUGAAGGAGCCAGCAGAUAACAAAUCUCCAACUGAGGAAGAAUUGCUUCUGGAAACUGCAGAGCAGGAGAUAAGUGGGGAGAGCUGUGCACACACAGAAAGUCCAGGGCAGAGUGGACAUAUGAGCACAAUAGGACAGGGACAGCCGUCCUGCCACCAUCAGUCUUGUCUUGGCUCCACCGUCAGCUCCGCUUCCUGCGCUAGGUCUUGGGGGCUCUACCACCGUCGUACCUGCUACUUUUCCUCCAGACCGUAGUUGACUUUUCUAGUAGAAGGCUGGACAAUGCAUGUUUCAUUCUGGUCUCACCACGUAUCCUCCCAUGAUGGGUUGGAUGGAGUCCGCUGCUCCAGGACCAGGAUGGGAUCCUCAAGCUGGAAGCUCCCUGGCUUAGAUACUGGAGUUGGUUGCUAUACUUUUCAGAAUCACUCUGAGCACUCCCAGGCAGAGUCCAGUGUUUGCAGUCAGAAAACGAUGACAUGAUGAAAAUGCUUGCCUCUGUCUUCUGGUGCUCGUGUGGUGGCACUUCUCUAUGUUAUGAACCAACAGGUGAAGUAGAUGUGUUGAGCAGUAUUGACAUCUGCAAGUUAACAAGAGAACUGACAAACAGUUCUCUAAAUCUUGGUUGUACCAGUUUGCCUAGAACUGCCCAAGACUUCUGGUUUUCCACCACUGUUGUCAUCAUGACUGUCAUCAUAAACACUCACUGCUUCCCCUGGCGGGCACUAUUCUAAGCAUGCUACAUGUAUUCAUUCACUCGAUUCUCACACCAAUCCCAGGCAAACUCCCAUUUUGCAGAAGAGGAGACAGAGGCACACAAGGUUUGGAUGAUCUGCCUACGGCCGUGCAAUUUAUGAGCGGAGCUGGAAGUGGGUGCCGAGUACCCUGGCCUGAGCCUGUCCUGCUAGCCGUCGCUCUAGGUCGUCUCUCUCAACAGCUUGUAUUAAAACCGCUUUACAUUUU